AUUGAACGCUGGCGGCAUGCCUUACACAUGCAAGUCGAACGGUAACAGGUCUUCGGAUGCUGACGAGUGGCGAACGGGUGAGUAAUACAUCGGAACGUGCCUAGUAGUGGGGGAUAACUACUCGAAAGAGUGGCUAAUACCGCAUGAGAUCUACGGAUGAAAGCAGGGGAUCGCAAGACCUUGUGCUACUAGAGCGGCCGAUGGCAGAUUAGGUAGUUGGUGGGAUAAAAGCUUACCAAGCCGACGAUCUGUAGCUGGUCUGAGAGGACGAUCAGCCACACUGGGACUGAGACACGGCCCAGACUCCUACGGGAGGCAGCAGUGGGGAAUUUUGGACAAUGGGCGCAAGCCUGAUCCAGCAAUGCCGCGUGCAGGAUGAAGGCCUUCGGGUUGUAAACUGCUUUUGUACGGAACGAAAAGCCCUGGGUUAAUACCCUGGGGUCAUGGCGGUACCGUAAGAAUAAGCACCGGCUAACUACGUGCCAGCAGCCGCAGUAAUAC
rnacentral:rRNA from 1 species